UUCGGGGUGGAUUAGUGGCGAACGGGUGAGUAACACGUGGGCAAUCUGCCCUUCACUCUGGGACAAGCCCUGGAAACGGGGUCUAAUACCGGAUACCACUCCUGCCUGCAUGGGCGGGGGUUGAAAGCUCCGGCGGUGAAGGAUGAGCCCGCGGCCUAUCAGCUUGUUGGUGGGGUAAUGGCCCACCAAGGCGACGACGGGUAGCCGGCCUGAGAGGGCGACCGGCCACACUGGGACUGAGACACGGCCCAGACUCCUACGGGAGGCAGCAGUGGGGAAUAUUGCACAAUGGGCGAAAGCCUGAUGCAGCGACGCCGCGUGAGGGAUGACGGCCUUCGGGUUGUAAACCUCUUUCAGCAGGGAAGAAGCGAAAGUGACGGUACCUGCAGAAGAAGCGCCGGCUAACUACGUGCCAGCAGCCGCGGUAAUACGUAGGGCGCAAGCGUUGUCCGGAAUUAUUGGGCGUAAAGAGCUCGUAGGCGGCUUGUCACGUCGGAUGUGAAAGCCCGAGGCUUAACCUCGGGUCUGCAUUCGAUACGGGCUAGCUAGAGUGUGGUAGGGGAGAUCGGAAUUCCUGGUGUAGCGGUG
rnacentral:rRNA from 1 species